rnacentral:rRNA from 1 species
GACGAACACUGGCGGCGUGCUUAACACAUGCAAGUCGAACGGAAAGGCCCUGCUUUUGUGGGGUGCUCGAGUGGCGAACGGGUGAGUAACACGUGAGUAACCUGCCCUUGACUUUGGGAUAACUUCAGGAAACUGGGGCUAAUACCGGAUAGGAGCUCCUGCUGCAUGGUGGGGGUUGGAAAGUUUCGGCGGUUGGGGAUGGACUCGCGGCUUAUCAGCUUGUUGGUGGGGUAGUGGCUUACCAAGGCUUUGACGGGUAGCCGGCCUGAGAGGGUGACCGGGCACAUUGGGACUGAGAUACGGCCCAGACUCCUACGGGAGGCAGCAGUGGGGAAUAUUGCACAAUGGGCGGAAGCCUGAUGCAGCAACGCCGCGUGCGGGAUGACGGCCUUCGGGUUGUAAACCGCUUUCGCCUGUGACGAAGCGUGAGUGACGGUAAUGGGUAAAGAAGCACCGGCUAACUACGUG